UGGGAACGCCUCCAAGUCUAAAUCGCUCU
rnacentral:piRNA from 1 species